rnacentral:rRNA from 1 species
CCCUUAGAUGUUCUGGGCCGCACGCGUGCUACACUGAUGCAUUCAACGAGUCUAAAACCUGGUCUGAUAGGGCUGGGUAAUCUUUUGAAAGUGCAUCGUGAUUGGGAUAGAUGAUUGCAAUUCUUCAUCUUCAACGAGGAAUGCCUAGUAAACGCAAGUCAUCAGCUUGCAUUGACUACGUCCCUGCCCUUUGUACACACCGCCCGUCGCUCCUACCGAUUGAAUGAUCCGAUGAAUACCAUGGAUUGAGAGUACGAAUAGGUUCGCUUAUUUCUGCUGCUCGAGAAGUGGAGUAAAUCUUAUCAUUUAGAGGAAGGAGAAGUCGUAACA